rnacentral:rRNA from 1 species
GAUUUCUGGCUUGAAACAUUUGGCCGGCCACGGUUUCGUGUGUUAGUGCUUUGUGUUCUGGCCAUCCUUCCAAUCGCUAUUCACCUUUCUUCAUUGAUUGGUGAGUGGUAUUGGAUCUUUUACUUUGAAAAAAUUAGAGUGUUUCAAGCAGGCGUUUUGCUAUGAAUACAUUAGCAUGGAAUAAUGAGUUAGGACUUCGGUUCUAUUUUGUUGGUUUCUAGGACUGAAGUAAUGAUUGAUAGGGAUAGUUGGGGGUGCUAGUAUUCAGCGGCCAGAGGUGAAAUUCUUGGAUUCGCUGAAGACUAACUUAUGCGAAAGCAUU